ensembl:lncRNA
GUGUGUGUGUGUCUGUGCGCGUGCGCGUGCAGUUGUGUCGUUUAAAUGUUUAGAAAGCCUCAUAGCGUGGCAUCCGCUGUAGCCCGCAGAUGUGGGCAGGGCUUGGGGGAUUGGCAUUUGCUGGUGCUUUACAAGACUUGCUCAGAAUACUGGAGGGAAAGCUUUAACAACGAGGUAGUAUUUUAACCCACGGGAGCAAAACAAACGCGAGGUGCAUGUCCACGGGCGGAGUAAGAAAGCACAAAGCCCUUCCGUCUAGGUGCGUGGUGGGGCAAUCUUUUUUUCCCAAGAAGUGACUUUUCGUUUAUUGACGUACGUACUGUAUGUUCCUGAGGUUGAGUCAGGAGAAGCCUUAAAGGAGAAGUGUUGGGGAAGGUGGUGGGUGGGUGUCAGGGCCGCUGGGCUGUGUGGUCCUGAAGCUCCCUGCGGGGAUGCACCUGGAAAGGCCAGGGCCUGGGGACCCUGGAAAAUUGCCUGGUGGCUGCAUUGGGGAGAUGCUUCACGUCUGUCUCCAGAGAUGAGUCAGAAAUGUUUCCCAGAUUUUAAAACUCCCAAAGGCAGUGGAGUGGCUGGCUCUGGUCAAUCCCAGCUGGGGGCACAAGGCCUGGGCCAGCGCCGCAGGGUGUAACCAGCUCCUGGAAGGGUUCAGGUGCCACUCAGAAUGCCGCGGGUGAGGUCCGCCUGGAGCCUGUCGGGGCCGCGUGCGCGUCCUCCAGCGGGCAGGGCAGGGUGUCUGCGUGGCGCUGCUGCCCGGGCGGGCCGGGCUCUGUUGUGGGCUGGCUUCCUUGCUGAGCCAGGGGUCAAGUGCAGCGGUGUUUGGGGCUGAAGAAGUGGUACCCUUUGCCAGCUCUUUGGGACACACCUGUGAUGAAGAUUGGUUCUCGUACAAACCUGUCUGUCGAGGAUGCAGAAGGGGUGGUCUCCACAUCCCGUGAGUAACUCCCAGACCACCUGCCCUGACUUAGCUCCCGAAGGAGCUCGGGCGGUCAUCCCCAGCCCAGGUUAUUCUUUCCUGGGCCUUCUCGUAAACCCACAUGCCUCUGCUUCUAUGUGCAGUGUUUUUGGUUGACUCUUGUGUUCAUCGUCGAGAAACGAGGGCAGAUGCACACUCCCUGCCAUCUCCCCCACCCCACCCUCAGGACUCAGCUCCUGCUCUGCUCAGAUGCCCUCCACCCCGCACUCUCAGCCUCGCCACUGCUGCUGGUGUCGUCCCUUCCCACCCACCCAUCCUUUCAGACUCGACGGCGUCUCAGCUGCGGUCCCACGGUAACGAAGCGGAUGCCUCCCGUCAAGCAGAAGGUCCAUCUGCCUGCUGGCUCUGUGGUGAUGUGCACGGCACGAACUCCAGGGGAGCAAAGGGGGCUUUUCAAUGUCUUUUGCUUUCAGAAACAGGGAAUUUAUAUUCUAAGGCCUUGAAUUGAUUUUUUUUUUCCUCAUAAAUAGUCAGAUAAGCUAAUUUUUAAAAAGAAAUGCCAUUGAGUAUGUGCAUUGUGGUUUAAAAUUACUAACGAGUUCUGGGAAAGAAAAGUAAUAUUUGAUUUUGAAUCUUACAUGUUUUUAAAAAUUAGAUUUGAAUGGGCAAAAAGUAUUUUGUUUCUUUAGGGAGUACAUGUGGAAAGGGUUUGAGGGUUUGGGACGGGAGAAGUAUUUUGCAGAGCUAUCAAUGUCCAAAUAAUUUUUAAAAAAUAAUAAAGGUAUUUAAGCAGU